CCACUUAUUUUUUCAACAAAAUACUAUUCCCCCCAUUUUCAUUACCAAACAGGGGCUUAAAGUACACAAGAAUAAUAGUCACCUAGAAUUUUAAGAAGGUGAAAAAUAAUCAUUCAUACAUACAAACAAAUUGAAUUCAUAUAAAGACAACAUCUACCUAAAACAUCAUGAAUGAAAAAUCAUUUUCAAAGUAAUUCUAUUAACAAUCAUUCAAUCAUCUGUCUUUAAUUUCCCCUCUCAUUUUAGAUGGUUGUUCAAUCAUCUAUUCCAACAUAUCAUAGCCCAGUCACAAAACAAAAUUCGGUAAUUGAAAAUUGAAUAUAUCUGCCAUUGAUGUUGAAUCAAUCUCUUCCUUGUUUGGUUGCUUAACCUUCCAUAGCCACUUAUAAUGAAUAAGUUAGAGUUUGGACAAAGAUCUCUCUCAAUGCAUGUGGUAAGUGUAAUAAGUUUCUUCAGGGAUCUCAUUUGGUGAAGC
rnacentral:lncRNA from 1 species